AAGAGGUGAGGGAGUCUUUAAGUGAAGUUAAUUAGAAAAUGUCCUAAUACAUAUGUGGCUUAUUUAAGCUGGUUACAAGAAAAAGGAGCCCAUUUCCUCAUGGUAGAGUGGAGCCAGCAGAAGAGGGGGUUCCUGUUUCUACAGCAUUUUCACCUCACCUGGGAUUUAGCGCUACAUGAAGACCUGUUCAGCAGAAGGAAAUGCUUUCCGACUACGACCUCUGAACGGUUUAAUUGGGAUUUAACUGUUCCUAUUUUUUCCACUCCAUGUGGGAGUCUGGAGCUCUGUUUACAAGCUUUCUCUAAGAAGAAAGGAAAUGUCUGAGAAGGAAAAAUGGAAGGCACACUGCUGUUUACUAAAACUGAUGCAAAGUAGGUCAAACAACUGAAACAAACAGACCAAUCUCUGCUAUGGACACCUACCCAGAACUGGUUUUCAUGGGAAACAAAUGAGGAAAAUAUAGUCAGUGGUCCAGAUCUUGAUUUCAGAUACAAAUGGUAGAAAUUUAUAAUAGAUUACAAAGUGGGAACAAUUUUGUUUCCUGUCCCAUAGUGCUGAAAGUGGAUUUGGUCACUUUAUUCUGGGUUUUAUGAAAUUUCAGAUUCGUGGUGCAUUUCUGUAGAUUGCAAUGUAGAAAAUGUACAAAUCUGCUCAUCCAGGAGGCAGCAAUACUUGAAACAAUGUAUUUGCUUAAGAGUGUACUUGAGCAAUUAAUGUAUUUUUUAUUUAAGGAA